ACCAUCUUCCUUCAGUUUCUAGAUUAUGUGACUUUGUUGUGUCUGUGACUGACCUCACUCCAUGACAACAGGGCAGUCACAUGUCUUUGGCUGGCCAAUCAGGGAACACCAUUGCCCUGGCCCCAAGAGACUGGUUCAGUGAUGGGCACUUGGCUCAAGCUGGAUCAUUGUAGAAAUCCCUGGGCUGUCAAUCACUCCUCAACAGGUUGCUGGAUCACUCACUCCAGGUGAAGCCAGAUUCCAUGUCAUGAGGCAGGUCUGUGAAGAGACCCACGUGGCAGGAACAGAGGCCUGUGGCCUGCCCAAAUCCACCUGCGUGGCUUUGAAAGUGAAUUCUCUCAAGUUGUGUCCUCAAGCGAAAUUUCGGCCCUGACAACUGCAACUGCCUAAGUGGCCUUGAGCCAGAGGCACCCAGCCAAGCUGCUCCUAAGGUUUCAGACCCACAGAAAUAGUGAGAUAAUAAAUGUUUGUAUUUUACACCAUUACAUUUUGGGGUAAUUUGCUACACAGCAAUAGAUAACUACUACACAGUCAAACUGGAAUGAUCAUCUAUGGGUCUGUAUGGGUUUGCCUCUCUCUACUGAGUGGGGCAGAUGGCCAUGGUAUCCAGAAAAAUACUCUUCCUUAGAUAAAAUAGGCAUCCCAAGGCCUUUUCACACUGGGUCAUAAAUGUACAUUUAGUGGAUCAUUUCCAUCACUAAAAUGUAAGAUCCACAAGGAAACUUGCAUACUUGUAAUAACUCAUAUACUGUAAGCCCGUGUCCAGCAUGUAGUUAAGCAUUGUAUGUUCACCGACUUCCUUUAUCUUUCGAACAAUCCUAUGAUAAAUGUAUUAUUAUAAUCGUCAUUUUGCAGAUGUGAAACUGAGGCGGAGAAGAAUUAAGUUGCCCAAAGUGAUGUCAUGUGUAAAUGGAGGAGGCAGGAUUUGAACC
rnacentral:lncRNA from 10 species